rnacentral:rRNA from 1 species
AGAGUUUGAUCAUGGCUCAGGACGAACGCUGGCGGCGUGCUUAACACAUGCAAGUCAAGGGGGCCCGUAGCAAUACGGGCAACCGGCGAACGGGUGCGUAACACGUGAGCAACCUGCCGAUCUGCGGGGGAUAGCCGGCCCAACGGCCGGGUAAUACCGCAUACGUUCUCGAGAGGGAGUCCUCUUGGGAGGAAACCUUUAUUGGGCAGAUCGAGGGGCUCGCGGCCUAUCAGCUAGUUGGCGGGGUAAUGGCCCACCAAGGCACCGACGGGUAGCUGGUCUGAGAGGAUGGCCAGCCACAUUGGGACUGAGAAACGGCCCAGACUCCUACGGGAGGCAGCAGUGGGGAAUCUUGCGCAAUGGCCGAAAGGCUGACGCAGCGACGCCGCGUGUGGGAGGACGCCCUUCGGGGUGUAAACCACUGUUGCCCGGGACGAACACCCUCUUUCGAGAGGGCUGACGGUACCGGGUGAGGAAGCACCGGCUAACUCCGUGCCAGCAGCCGCGGUAAUUC